CUACGGGCCGCAGCAGUGGGGAAUAUUGCACAAUGGAGGAAACUCUGAUGCAGCAACGCCGCGUGGAGGAUGACACUUUUCGGAGCGUAAACUCCUUUUAUAUAGGAAGAAGAUGACGGUACUAUAUGAAUAAGCGCCGGCUAACUCCGUGCCAGCAGCCGCGGUAAUACGGAGGGCGCAAGCGUUACUCGGAAUCACUGGGCGUAAAGAGCGUGUAGGCGGAUUAAAAAGUCAGAAGUGAAAUCCUAUAGCUUAACUAUAGAACUGCUUCUGAAACUCUUAAUCUAGAAUAUGGGAGAGGUAGAUGGAAUUUCUGGUGUAGGGGUAAAAUCCGUAGAGAUCAGGAGGAAUACCGAUUGCGAAGGCGAUCCACUAGAACAUUAUUGACGCUGAGACGCGAAAGCGUGGGGAGCAAACAGGAUUAGAUACCCCCGUAGUC
rnacentral:rRNA from 1 species